rnacentral:rRNA from 1 species
UACAGAGGGUGCGAGCGUUGUCCGGAAUCACUGGGCGUAAAGGGCGCGUAGGCGGUCUCUUAAGCGUGUGGUGAAAGCCCGGGGCUCAACUCCGGGUCGGCCGUGCGAACUGGGGGACUGGAGCGUAUCAGAGGCGGGCGGAAUUCCGGGUGUAGCGGUGAAAUGCGCAGAUAUCGGGAGGAACACCAGUGGCGAAGGCGGCUACCUGGACCAGCACUGACACUGAGGCACGAAAGCGUGGGGAGCAAACAGG